rnacentral:lncRNA from 1 species
UACAUUCUUUUGCUGUUUCGCUGUUGCUGAAUGAAUGACUGAAUGAAAGCAUCUCCCAAGGCUGCCUGCUUGCUUACCUUCUCACAUGAUGCUUCUUUGCCUCUCUGUUCCUUAAGGAGCUUUCCCUCCCUUCUUUCUUGCCCCACAGUCCCCAAACUCACCAGUGUGGGCAGAAGGAGAAAAGGAAUGUUCUAUCCAGCCCCAUACCCCAGCACCUGCUGGGCAACUUUGUCUUCCCUUCUGCAAAAGAAAAGAAGUCCCCUCAAACACAGGAGAGGAUGGGAAAAGGCAUCUCUCUAAGCAGUAACCCUGGCAGGGCCCUUCAGGAUUCCCAAAUUCCCAAUUUAUAGACAGGGAAACUGAUCCCUAGAGAAGGGAAGGGACUUGCCCAUGUCCACACAGCAUGUUAGUGGGACACAUCAUGAAACAUAAAAGCAGGAAGAGGGUCUAGAAACCAUCUAGCCCUACCCCCUCAUUUAGAGAAAGGAAAACCGAGGCCCAGAGAGGGAGAGUUAGUGACAGAGCCACAACAAGAACUCAGAAGAGGGUCAGCUGGUGUGCAACCAGCUCAGUGACACAAAAGCCUGUGCUAGGGAUUUAAUGUUCUACUGUCGUGUCUUGAAAUUCUUCAUAUCUUAUCUGUAAAUGUGUAGUUUGUAAAUGAAGUCUGUGAGAUAACACAGCAGGCACCCAGGCCAACAGCCUCAGUUCAAGUGCAGUCCGGCCCCUCCCUCACCAGGUGGGUUCUCAGUGCCAGCUUCCCCAACCCCCUGCUAUCUCCUCCUCACAUCCCUUCUUCUCUCUCUUCCCCCCAACAGCUGCCAGUCUGCUAUCUGCAGGGCACUGGCACGGGAGGCUGAGCAUGCACAUCCCACAGCAUUUGGGUAGGACACGACUGCAGCCAUGCCUGCCCUAGAGGUUGAUGACAUCGUGGUGCCUUCAAGGGGGGAAACUGGCAGGGCAAGCCUUUCCCCUAUGCUAGAGCCUCUGACAUGGAGGUUGCAAGAUGUGGGGGUACCUGUCCACCAUGGAUUGGGGUGAAGGGCCUGUGGGAAAGGAGGAUGCCUGGCUUCCCUUCUCCGGGUCCUCUUGCCUCAGUGUAGGGGACCUGGCAGCAGAUGGGCACUGGUGGGCCACACUGCAGGGGAAGGCUCCUGGGUGCCUUGAGGGCCUCCGUGCUCCUCUCCAGUAGCUCCAUGCCCAAGGUAGCAUAGCAUUAAAUAGCAAAUACACAGCACAAGAGGGGCCACAGAAGUGGGGUGGGGCUUUAUGUUUGGGUACCUCUCUCCUGCCUGUGGAACAAAAGGCUUGUGUUUGCAAUGUGCCCUGGGCUGUCACAUUAGGUAGCUGUCCUGACUCAGGACUUCUGUUGCUCUGGCCACCAGCCCCCAGCACUCAGCACCGCUGGACAACACCGGUGUAUUCACGUUCAGUCUAGUGCGUUCCCGGCCCUGUGCUGGGCCUCUUUUCCCUGUUUUCUUGUUUGCAGCCUUGUCGUAACUGAGUGAGGUGUGCACUAUUAUUAGACUCAUUUUACAGGUGAGGAAAGACAGCUGCCCAUAGGCUGAGUUAACUUGUCCACGUCCUCCACCAGGGAAGCAAGAGAGCCAAGCUCCCCACCCAGGUGGCCUGGUGCUCCUGUCCUGGCCCGACAUGCGGGCAGUCGGGCCGUCGGGAAAGGAAAGCGCAGUGUAGAGGAGCUGCUUCUCACCGCCUCUCCUCCCCUCCCCACCUUCCCCGGGAACUCAUGCCCCUCCCCUGCACUCCUGCUCCUUGCCGGCUCGCCCUGGGCCGCUCCGAAGGGAGGAGACCACGUGACCCAGGUCACCGGUAACCAGGCAACCGUUCCAAGACACUGCUUUUCAUCCACUCUGGCUUCUACCUUAUUCAAUAUCUGCCAGGCGGGCAAGGCUCCUGGGAGCAUCCCUGAAGCCAUUUCUCUGGGCCAGGAGCCAGCUGUUCCCAAAAUGGCCACGAUGCCUCAGGAGGGAGGUUGACACCCUGUGCUCUCAGAAGCAGCUCAGAGCUCAGAGGCAGACCUCUACUCAUGCAAUUCUGCCUUCUGUGCAUGCAAUGGAUUGCUGCCAUCUCCAAUCAGCCACAAUGGGAGGCCACCUGCUAGACAUGGAAGAGCCACCGGAUGGAAGAAGCCUGGGUCUCUGAAAUACUGCUUGGAGUAGACUACUCUGCCUGCAAACUAGGAGCACUGAUUUUGGACUUUUUGGGAGAUCUGCUGUGAUUAUUCCUUUUCACAAACCACAAUGACUCUGGAAAACCUGGCUGUAAACACCAGCACUGCCACCAGCUAAGGAUCUGUGAUCAGGAGUGCCAUCUCACGGUAACAGGAAUAUGAAGUCUGAGGUUUCUGCUCUGACAAGAGGAAAUGUCUAACAGCAGAAGACAAAAGUGAAACCGGGCUGAUGCGAAUCACUGGGAAACUGGCUUUGGCACCUCCAGAGAAUGAACUGUUUCAUAGCCUAGCUGACCAUCCAUGAAAAUGGCUGCCUGGAGAGGCAGUGAUCAGCCCAUCCCUGCAGGGUGAAGAUAAGCUUGUGCAGGCCACUGGCUAACACAGUUCAUCCCAUGCCUCCUACAUACCAAGCACUGUGCCAGGCACUUUUCACGUCUGGCAUCCUCAGAAUCCUCCAAAAGGAGAGGUUCGUGGAGGAUAAUGCUGUCAGGCUUGGAAGCAGCAGUAGAGAUCACGUUGCCCAGCUCUUGGCAUCAUUGGUUCCCAAAGCUCUGAAUCCCCUGGAGAGCUUUUGUAAAAGGUCGGAUUCAGACAAUCCGGUGGAGCACUCUGAAAUUUAGAGGAAGUGGUCAAAUAGAAUUUUCUGGAAUUAUGGAAAUCUUCUAUUCUGUGCAUCUAGUAUAGUAGAAUCUAGUCACAUGUGGCUUUUGAGAACUGGAAAUAUGGCUAAUGCAACAGAGAAAGUGAAUUUUUACUUUUGAUUCAUUUAAAUAUAAAUGGUCACAUAUGACAUCACUGCCAUAUUGGACAUUGCAGUUCUGGAAGAUGGCAGAUGCAGCCCUCAGAAGAAUUAUCAGCCUGAAUGUCUGGGCGGAGCAGAGCACUACCUUCCCACUCACUCUUCCCCUCCUCUCGCCCCCUCCCCUGCCUCACUUGCAUCAGAUUAUGAUGUGAGCAAAAGCAGGAAACAGCUCUUUUGAUAGGCCUGUGAGACUUGCUGUUCGUUGGAGUAGCUAGGCUGCUCUGACUCAUACAGACCCAAAUCCUGGCAACCACUUUUAUGAAGAAAUGACAAUUCAGUCUACUACUUGUCCAUUUUACAUGCCCAAGGAAUGUGAGGGGCCUCUGCUUGGAUCUAGUUUUCAACCUAGUCUAUGGCAUUGAUUAUCCUUUUAAAAGACAAAAGAGGUGACUUCACGGGCACUUAACAUCUUGGCCAUACUGACCCCAGUUGCACGCUACGUAGGAAGUUUUAGUCCAUUUAAACUGAAGUUCCAAUUUUUUUUUUAACAACUAUUUAAAAAUUGUACAUGUCCCAUACAUGACAGAGAAAGGGUUGUCUGGUUGGAUGAUUUUUGGCUUGCAAAAAGAGAACACAAAAGAAAAGCAUACGUUUUAAUACUCAAGAGACCAAAUUUUCUGCUGAAGAGGAAAUGAACUACAUAUCCAGAAGGGUCCUACCAAGAGGCCAAACAGACUGUGUUCUCUUGGGGGAGUUCUCAGUGGUGAUGAGAACACCACUUUUUUUUUUUUUUUAGUCAUUUUCAAGGUGAGAUAUUGACUUGCUGCUGGAGCAGGACAACUGGUCUCUCUUUCAUUGCUAGCAGCAGAGUAAGGGUCUUGCAAGUUUCAGGCAGCAGCAGAGAAAGGGUCUUGCAAGUUUCAGUCCAAAGCAAGAAGAGCUAGGAUUGCACCAGCUGUCUCACCUACUCUGUGCUCACCUGUUUCUGGAUGAAGCACGGUGACAUCUGUUUUAUUGUAAAGAGAACCAACUUUGGAAUCAAAUGGAACCUGUAUUAAAAUCCUGAAUCCGUCACUAGCUUGGACAAGUCA